rnacentral:lncRNA from 1 species
CAAAAAUGUCCGACCGUCUGUUCAAAAGUUACAACGGGAUGAUUCUUAAAAGUAUAGUAUUUUGUGUAUAUCUUUUUAAAGGUAACAGAUAUCAACCUACUAUAAACUGCAAAGAUGAUCAGUAAUUCAAGACCUUCAAUUUGAGGUCAAUGUCAGGUCAUGAUGAAAUUUCACCUUGACCUUCACAUUAUACUAUGACCUUGACCUUGUGAUAUUUGAAAGGUCAAGUGGUCCUGAGUUGAAUGGUGAUAGUCCCAUGUCUCUACGACUUCCGGUUCUCAAGUUUGUAUUGCAUCAUAUAUUUGAUGAUUAAUUGUGACCUUGGUGAACUUUGAAAUUGUCCCAAUUCUUUUUCUAUAAUGUUGUCCUUUAACUGUAGAUCAUUUAUCAUUUAACAGAUUUGAGAUAUCUAUUGUCGUUUUAGAGAUAAUGCAGUUUGAAAUUUUGCGAGCGGAGGCAUGUAUUUCUGAAUCAACAACAGCUUACCACUUAAAAUGUUUAAGAAAUUGAAGAGGUUAACAUAGUUAUAUGUUUGACCAAAUACCAAAAACAUUCCAUGGAAAAAAACACCAAAAAAUUCAAUUUGAAAUUUUCAAGUUUUGCAUUGACUUUGUAAGUUUCAUAACUUCUAUUUAUAUAGUUGAUAUUGCAUCAUUAUUUGCACUUUGUCAAAUGGGGUCAUCUGAUAUAUCAAAUUGAAGGUCUUAAUAAACUCUACUUAAAAAUGAAAAAUUUUAAACCCCUUUUCAUCCCAGGGGGACGGGUGGGGUCAUUUAGUGCAAACAUUCAAAUUUCUCAGAUGGUAAGGUUGUCGCAUAUCAAAUGAAAGAACAUAAAGCGUACAUUUCAAAUUUCAAAUUGACGUCUCCCAAAAAUGGGUUGGAUGGGGUCAUUGAGUGCAAAAAAUAAAUUUUCUUUUAAGAUAGGGUUGUUGUAUAUCAAAUGAAAGGUCAUGAUGUGUACAUUUGAAAUAUCAAAUUCCCGACCUCCAAAAAUUAGUUGGAUAGGGUUAUUAAGUGCAAAAAUCAAACUUUCUAGAACAUGGCGUUGUCGCAUAUCAAAUGAAAGCUCAUCUACCCUGUGUUACAUAUAUCAUACUUCCGAUCUCAAAAAUGUAGGCGGAUGAGGUCAUUAAGUGUAAAAAGCGAAAAGUUUCAGAAAGGUAUGCUUGUCGUAUAUCAAACGAAAGGUCGUACAAAGUACAUUACGAAAACAUCACUUUUACAGGAAAGACCUUUCAAUUGUUUUACAAACAAUU